UACGAAGGUCCCAAGCGUUAUCCGGAUUUAUUGGGCUUAAAGGGUGCGUAGGCGGGUUAUUAAGUCAGUGGUGAAAGCCUGCAGCUUAACUGCAGAAUUGCCAUUGAUACUGAUGAUCUUGAGUAUGAUUGAGGUGGGCGGAAUGUGUCAUGUAGCGGUGAAAUGCUUAGAUAUGACACAGAACACCGAUUGCGAAGGCAGCUCACUAAGCCAUAACUGACGCUGAUGCACGAAAGCGUGGGGAGCAAACAGG
rnacentral:rRNA from 1 species